UGCUGAUAACUUUAUGAAACAUUCUCCUUUUCCGCUGAAAUUUUCCUACUUUCUGUCAGCCCAGAGGCAAAUUGUUUUUAGGAAGUUUCAGC
rnacentral:pre_miRNA from 1 species